AUUGAACGCUGGCGGCAUGCCUAACACAUGCAAGUCGAACGAGGUGUAGCAAUACAUCUAGUGGCGGACGGGUGAGGAAUACGUAGGAAUUUGCCUUAGAGCGGGGGAUAGCCCAGGGAAACUUGGAGUAAUACCGCAUGAUGUCGAAAGACCAAAGCAGGGGACCGCAAGGCCUUGCACUCUGAGAGAAGCCUACGUCUGAUUAGCUAGUUGGUAGGGUAAUGGCCUACCAAGGCGACGAUCAGUAACU
rnacentral:rRNA from 1 species